rnacentral:rRNA from 1 species
ACCGAUUUGGUCCUAGUCCUUUUCUUGGUCCCCUCUAAAACGAUACAUGCAAGUCAAUCGCAACACAGUGAGUAAUAGUCUACGACUAUUCUUAAAAGAAAUGGCCGUUCAAAACGAGGUAUCAGAAAAUCCGUUUAAUUCAACGACACCUAGACACCCACAUCUGCAGUACCUAGCAUUAUACAAUAAGCAAAAGCUUGAUAUAGUUAUAGACUUAAGAGUUGGUUAAUUAUGUGCCAGCCACCGCGGUUAUACAUAAAACUCAAACCAAGAACAUUAUCGGUCUAAAGGUGACUAGAGACAACUUUAUUUAGGGUAGAAAAAAACUCCAGUAUUAACAAGCUUCUACAGUUAACUAAUAACAACUACAAUAUUACCCCAAACCACCCAACUCAAGGCACCAAAGCUCAAAAAUAAACUGGGAUUAGAUACCCCACUAUAUGAGCCGUAAAAAAUCAAUAACACCCAGAGAA